rnacentral:tRNA from 2 species
GUGAGCGUAGCUCAGUUGGUAGAGCUCUGGAUUGUGACUCCAGCGGUCGUGGGUUCGAGCCCCAUCGUUCACCCCA